UACGAAGGGGGCUAGCGUUGCUCGGAAUCACUGGGCGUAAAGCGCACGUAGGCGGACUCUUAAGUCGGGGGUGAAAUCCUGGAGCUCAACUCCAGAACUGCCUUCGAUACUGAGGAUCUCGAGUCCGGGAGAGGUGAGUGGAACUGCGAGUGUAGAGGUGAAAUUCGUAGAUAUUCGCAAGAACACCAGUGGCGAAGGCGGCUCACUGGCCCGGUACUGACGCUGAGGUGCGAAAGCGUGGGGAGCAAACGGG
rnacentral:rRNA from 1 species